UGCAGAGUUUUCACUACAACUCUUGAACUUUUGAAAGUUGAGCUCGGUAGCUCUGCUGACCCUAAGUCAGUACACAGAUACACAGAGUCAGCUGACAUCUGCUUCUGCUUUUGAUCUGGGUUCAGAAAACGCAUGAACAACAGGCAAAUGCACAAACUUUGCAAAUUGGAGUCAACUUCUGCAUUCUCAUCUGAUGAGAAGUGGACGAAGGUUGAUUAGAUCUGAGUGUUUGGUCCCACUGGUCGUAGUUACUGCUCUGUGUUUGGCAGUGAUCUCACCACACUGUGAAAAAGGGUUGAAGUGUAUGCUACUGGCGUUAGAUUGCGGUCUUUGUGUUGGAUUUUUGUACAUCUCAGCAGCCGGUGUGGCCCAAUCGCGGCUGAACUUUCAGUUCUUGCUCAGAGGAACAGAAAGUUUCCAAUGUGAUCUGUUUUCUCGUUUCUCUGAAGCCUCCUCUUGACUUUGUGCCUGUAUUUUCUGUCAUGCUUGCAGAUGGUAGAGCCAGACACAUGGAGACACAUGAAGAGACACAUGGAGACACAAAUAACGCUCACAUGUGGAAAGGAAGAUAGCAAAUUAUGUCACCUCCGCACUUUCCAGAAGCAGAACUGAGCAGGAGCGUGAUUUGUUGAGCCACCGAUAAUCGCUUCCAGGAAAAGAAUCAACCACUCUGGAUCUGCGUACCGGUAUGCGCUUGGCGGCUGUCGUCGAGCAGGAAUCCUGCAAUCAUCUGACAUCUGCACAGCAUGAUCAUCAGUCUUUCUAAAAAGAUGAGUCGUGUGGGAAAAAUGUGAUCCGUCAGGGGGAUCGUAGCAGCAUUGAGAAACGUGUGUGGUUUGGCCUCAGUGCACACUAUAAAUGUGAUUGUCAUGUGAGAGCUUGACACACUGUCAUUUGAAUAAAAUAACAUCAAUUUCAA